GAUGAACGCUGACAGUAUGCUUAACACAUGCAAGUCGAUGGGGAAGUGGUGCUUGCCCCAUGGCAACCAUGGCGGACGGGUGAGUAACGCGUAAGGGACUUACCUGCAGGACUGGGAUAACAGGGGGAAACUCCUGACAAGACCGGAUAAUGUCAUGGAGCUGCAUGGCUUUAUGAUGAAAGGAGACGCCUGCGGAGAGCCUUGCGUCCUAUUAGCUAGUUGGUGAGGUAAUGGCUCACCAAGGCGAAGAUAGGUAGCCGGCCUGAGAGGGUGGACGGCCACAAGGGGACUGAGAUACGGCCCUUACUCCUACGGGAGGCAGCAGUGGGGAAUAUUGGACAAUGGGGGCAACCCUGAUCCAGCAAUUCUGUGUGCACGAAGAAGGUUUUCGGAUUGUAAAGUGCUUUCAGCAGGGAAGAAGUAAGUGACGGUACCUGCAGAAGAAGCGACGGCUAAAUACGUG
rnacentral:rRNA from 1 species